GUCAGAAUGGCCGAGCGGUCUAAGGCGCCAGACUCAAGGUUGUGCACCUUCUCCAAAACAGAGAGAUUUCUGGUCUCCGAAUGGAGGCGUGGGUUCAAACCCCACUUCUGACA
rfam:Astyanax mexicanus Tnplaced_Scaffold3730, whole genome shotgun sequence.